GGUGUUUAUGUAUGUUGAGAUGGCUGUCAAGUCGAUUCUUUCAUCAACUUAAUAACAAGUUAAUUUAAUUUGAGUUCAGUGUCAUAGUGCUGCGUCUAAAAAGCCCAAAGCUGAUAAGACUGGUGAUUGAUCCUAAAGCUGAUUUGACAGAUGAUUGCAUCAUCGCAAUAUUAAAGGUUCAAUAUACAGUCAGCGUCUCAUAAGAAUAAAUCCCAAGAUCCAAGACUUGCUUAAAAGCUUAAUUAAGGUAACUACACACUGUUAAAUAAACUUUGUUAUAUUCUUCCCAACAACGUUUGGGAUAUCCUGGAAUCACACUGUCUGUUUUUCUGCCUGUCUACUUCUCUGUAGUAUUUUUUGUCCAAAAAUAAAAU